rnacentral:rRNA from 1 species
GACGAACGCUGGCGGCGUGCUUAACACAUGCAAGUCGAACGGUGAAGGGAUCAGCUUGCUGGUUCUGGAUGAGUGGCGAACGGGUGAGUAACACGUGAGUAACCUGCCCCCUUCUUCUGGAUAACCGCAUGAAAGUGUGGCUAAUACGGGAUAUUCUGCGCCUGCUGCAUGGUGGGUGUGGGAAAGAUAUUGUUUCGGUGGGGGAUGGGCUCGCGGCCUAUCAGCUUGUUGGUGGGGUGAUGGCCUACCAAGGCGGUGACGGGUAGCCGGCCUGAGAGGGUGGACGGUCACACUGGGACUGAGACACGGCCCAGACUCCUACGGGAGGCAGCAGUGGGGAAUAGUGCACAAUGGGCGCAAGCCUGAUGCAGCGACGCCGCGUGAGGGAUGGAGGCCCUCGGGGUGUGAACCUCUUUCGCCAGUGAAGCAGGCCUGUCCCUUGUGGGUGGGUUGACGGUAGCUGGAUAAGAAGCGCCGGCUAACUACGUG